CCUACGGGAGACAGCAGUGGGGAAUAUUGGGCAAUGGGCGCAAGCCUGACCCAGCAACGCCGCGUGAAGGAAGAAGGCUUUCGGGUUGUAAACUUCUUUUAAGAGGGAAGAGCAGAAGACGGUACCUCUUGAAUAAGCCACGGCUAACUACGUGCCAGCAGCCGCGGUAAUACGGAGGUGGCAAGCAUGGUCCGGAUGUACUGGGUGUAAAGGGCGUGCAGGCGGGAGGACAAGUCAGAUGUGAAAUCCUGCGGGUGAACCGCGGAACUGCAGUUGAAACUGUGUGUCUUGAGUGGGGGAGAGGGAGGUGGAAUGCGUGGGGUAGCGGCAAAAGGCGGAGAUAGCAAGAAGAAUACGAAGUGAGAAGGC
rnacentral:rRNA from 1 species